rnacentral:rRNA from 1 species
GACGAACGCUGGCGGCGUGCUUAACACAUGCAAGUCGAACGAUGAAGCCGGAGCUUGCUCUGGUGAAUUAGUGGCGAACGGGUGAGUAACACGUGAGUAACCUGCACUUGACUCUGGGAUAACUGCGGGAACCUGUAGCUAAUACCGGAUACGACCCUCGGAGGCAUCUCCUGGGGGUGGAAAGAAUUGAGGUCAAGGAUGGACUGGCGGCCUAUCAGCUAGUUGGUGAGGUAAAGGCUCACCAAGGCGAGGACGGGUAGCCGGCCUGAGAGGGUGAUCGGCCACACUGGGACUGAGACACGGCCCAGACUCGAACGGGAGGAAGCAGUGGGGAAGUUUGCAAAAUGGGCGGAAGCCUGAUGCAGCAACGCCGCGUGAGGGAUGAUGGCCUUCGGGUUGUAAACCUCUUUUAGAAGGGAAGAAGGGAAAGUGACGGUACCUGCAGAAAAAGCACCGGCUAACUACGUGCCAGCAGCCGCCGUAA